AAGGCAAGAAAGAAGAGGAGGAGAAGGAGCAGAAGGGUGUAAGGAGAGCAAUGGAAACAAAAGUUCAAGCAAUUUGCGGAGAAGACAGAGAUGGAAACAGGAAUUGGGACAGGUAGGACAGAGGAUGUAAGAAAAAAAAGAAGAUAAGAAGAUGAAAGCCAUGGGAGUUAACCCAGCUCCUAUUAAAGCUGACAGCAUUACUCUUUAGAGAUAGCAGGCUUGGCUUAUAGGGAGAUUUUGAAAUAGGACAGAAGGAGGAAAGGAGGAGUGACAGAUGAAAGACAGGCAAAAAGAAAGAGCAAGGAAUACACUAAAGUGGAAAUCCAGAGGUGAGAGUGUUGAAACUGAACACCGAGAAGCAUGCUUCAUACACUGGUAAUAUGCUGGAAAAGGGAAGGAAGACUGAAACCAGAGCAAAGAAGAAUGCGUGAGAUCAUUUUGUGAUUUCAGAUUUCCAUCCCUUCUGGCUGUGGAACUGAGGCCUCGAGAAGAGCCUGUGGCACAUGUGAAGAUGUGCAGGGGAGAAAAUAAUUGCAAACUAUAACAUGUAUUAUUUUAUGCAGAUUAGAUGUGACUUUGCUUUUCUCUUAAGCUUUAUGCUCCAGAAGUUGAGUGGGGUGGUACAACGUGCUGAGGAACUGAGUAAGGAAGAUGAGGAGUAGCAAAUAAAAGGGCUGAUGACCAGAUGGUUUGCUACAGAUCUGUGUCUCGCUGUUGAUUGACUCUGAUGUCUCAGGAAAUGAAAGCCUCAACUGAAGCUGGGCACUAUGAGGAUUGUCUUCAACGUGUUUUCUCUAGCGUGUGGAUUCCCUGCUGACAAAGCAUGACCUCAUGCUUUGAUCUUUGCCCUGGGGAGAGUGCAAAUACUGAGCUGCCUGUUCACACAAAACCUGCAGAAGUUGGGUACCUUUGGCUGCAUCCAGACUCCAAAACCUCGCAACCCUCUGUGUUUCUGAGUCUCAUAACCUUACUGUCACCCCAUGCAGGUGCAAAUCAUAGCCAAAUGUCAGUGCCUCUGUCCCUUUCAGCCCCAGGCUCUGGUUUCCGGAGGAGGGAAACACGCACAUGGGACAUGUGGCACGCUCCACUUGAUAAAGCAGCAUGUGCUACUUCCAUGGUUGCUUAGCCCAGCAGGUAAGUGCAGUUGGAAAUACCAGCUCCUUUGUAAAAUCCACGUGAAAUAGGAUGAUGGAUUCAAAACUUGGUAGGGGAGAUGUAGGCAUUCAUGCAUGCGUAGAGAAAAAUCAUGUGGACUGUUUUAGUCUUUUUUUCCUGAGAGCCAGGUUUAAAGCAAGGAUCUUGACCAGACAUCCUUUCUGGAGAGAAAAGACAGCAAUUGGUUGCCUAUGAAGACAGACCAAGUUGCAUAGGUCAUAUGGGGUGCUGGUCUCAUGCUUACACCUGGAAGAAGACAGGUCCAAAACUUCAAAGGGGUUCAUGAUGCAUGAGGAUCGACUACCUGAAUGCUUCCAGGGCUGGUGCUGAGAUCUGCCUGCUGCAACCUGGGGGAGUUCCCUGCUGGGAGUUGAGAUGAGAGAAAACUGACUGAAAUUACAGUUUUCGGUCCUUGAGACUGAAGCAAAUUAGAGCUGUGUGCAGACGGAUGGAGGAGGGGUCCCGGUUUCUGGAUACUUUUCAACUCUGGGACAGAGCAUAGCAGAUCAGUAAAGGAAACACUGCACAGUCCCA